UACGGGGGGGGCAAGCGUUGUUCGGAAUUACUGGGCGUAAAGGGCGCGUAGGCGGUCAGACCAAGUCGAGUGUGAAAUUCCAGGGCUUAACUCUGGCACGCUCGCUCGAUACUGGUCGGCUAGAGUGUGGAAGAGGAUGCUGGAAUUCCUGGUGUAGCGGUGAAAUGCGCAGAUAUCAGGAGGAACACCGGUGGCGAAGGCGGGUCUCUGGGCCGUAACUGACGCUGAGGAGCGAAAGCGUGGGGAGCGAACAGG
rnacentral:rRNA from 1 species